UACGUAGGGUGCGGGCGUUAAUCGGAAUUACUGGGCGUAAAGCGUGCGCAGGCGGCCUCUUAAGUCAGAUGUGAAAUCCCCGGGCUUAACCUGGGAACUGCGUUUGGAACUGGGAGGCUAGAGUGUGGAAGAGGGGGGUGGAAUUCCAGGUGUAGCAGUGAAAUACGUAGAGAUCUGGAGGAACACCGAUGGCGAAGGCAGCCCCCUGGGCUGACACUGACGCUCAUGCACGAAAGCGUGGGGAGCAAACAGG
rnacentral:rRNA from 1 species